GCCUUUGUGGUGUAACGGUAGCACACUCGGCGCGUAUUCGAGAGAUUCAGGUUCGAGUCCCGGCGAGGGCA
rnacentral:tRNA from 1 species